CACAUGCAAGUCGAGCGAAGAGUACCAGAGUACCGGGCUCUUAGCGGCAGACGGGUGAGUAAUACUUAAACAAUCUGCCCUCGAAUGGGAGACAACCAAGCGAAAGUUUGGCUAAUACCCCAUACAAUCCUCUUGAGGCAUCUCAAGGGGAUGAAAGGCCCGCAAGGGUCGUUCGAGGAGGAGUUUGAGUCCUAUCAGCUAGUUGGCGGUNNCACCAAGGCUAUGACGGGUAGCCGAUCUAAAAGGAUGACCGGCCACAAGGGCACUGAGACACGGGCCCUACUCCUACGGGAGGCAGCAGUGGGGAAUUUUGGACAAUGGACGAAAGUCUGAUCCAGCGACGCCGCGUGAAGGACGAAGGUUUUCGGAUCGUAAACUUCUUUUGCAGGGGACGAA
rnacentral:rRNA from 1 species